rnacentral:misc_RNA from 1 species
GUUGAAGAACGCAGCGAAAUGCGAUACUUGGUGUGAAUUGCAGAAUCCCGUGAACCAUCGAGUCUUUGAACGCAAGUUGCGCCUCAAGCCAUUAGGUUGAGGGCACGUCUGCCUGGGCGUCACAUAUCGUUGACUGAUGCCAGUUUCCUCGUGAUGGGUGACUGUGCAGGGCGAAUGAUGGCUUCCCGUGAGCAUUGUUGCCUCAUGGUUGGUUGAAAAUUGAGUCCUUGGUAGGGAGCGCCGUGAUAGAUGGUGGUUGAGUGACGAACGAGACCCAAUCAUGUGAGACCCCUACCGAAUUUGGCCUUCAUGACCCACAUGCGUCUUUGGAACGCUCAUGACGAGACCUCAGGUCAGGCGGGGCUACCCGCUGAGUUUAAGCAUAUCAAUAAGCGGAGGA